rnacentral:rRNA from 1 species
AGUGAACGCUGGCGGUAGGCCUAACACAUGCAAGUCGAACGGCAGCACAGUAAGAGCUUGCUCUUACGGGUGGCGAGUGGCGGACGGGUGAGGAAUACAUCGGAAUCUACUUUUUCGUGGGGGAUAAUGUAGGGAAACUUACGCUAAUACCGCAUACGACCUACGGGUGAAAGCAGGGGAUCUUCGGACCUUGCGCGAUUGAAUGAGCCGAUGUCGGAUUAGCUAGUUGGCGGGGUAAAUGCCCACCAAGGCGACGAUCCGUAGCUGGUCUGAGAGGAUGAUCAGCCACACUGGAACUGAGACACGGUCCAGACUCCUACGGGAGGCGGCAGUGGGGAAUAUUGGACAAUGGGCGCAAGCCUGAUCCAGCCAUACCGCGUGGGUGAAGAAGGCCUUCGGGUUGUAAAGCCCUUUUGUUGGGAAAGAAAAGCAGCAGGUUAAUACCCCGCUGUUCUGACGGUACCCAAAGAAUAAGCACCGGCUAACUUCGUG